AAUGUACUCCCUCCGUUCCGAAUUACUUGUCGCGGGUAUGGAUGUAUCUAGAUGUAUUUUAGUUUUAGAUACAUCCAUUUCUACGACGAGUAAUUUGGAACGGAGGGAGUACUCU
rfam:Triticum aestivum genome assembly, contig: Triticum_aestivum_CS42_TGACv1_scaffold_556459_7AL